CAGAGCCAGUAGGUGGGGAAUAGAGCAGCCAUUCCUGCAACAUAUACUCACCAUUUAGGAGCCUUCGCUGAAAGCAGAUGGUGGUUUAGGCAUGGCUGAAGCAGCUGCUGCUUAUCAGCUCAUUUACCAGCUCCUACAUAACCAGCCAGCAGAGUUUCCUCGUUUCCAGUCUGUUGAGAUUUGUUCUGAAAAACCUCCUGUCUCCUUCACCUUACCUGUGAGUUCCUGAGCCACCAGCUACACUGGCCAUGUCUCCUGUCACAGCCUAGACUGCUGUGUGUUACUGUUCGACCGGUGACACUGUCAGCUCAUCUCUCCUCCUGGAACCUUUAACUUACCUAGUCUCCAGCUGCGACAACUCCUCUCCACCAGCACUACUCACCUGUGCAUCUCCUCACCACUGCCUGGCUCCUGUCCUGCCUCAUCUUCCCGGUGUCACCUCAGCUCCUCUCUGCCUGCCACCUUCAGGGAGCCCUGUUUACCUCAGCCUUCCCCUUAGGGGCUCCUGCCAUUCACAAUUUCUUACCAGUCAACCGGUGUUAAGACUUUUUAUUUAGCCUAAUAAAGCCUCCUGAGACCUGC